rnacentral:rRNA from 1 species
UACGUAGGGUGCAGGCGUUGUCCGGAAUUAUUGGGCGUAAAGAGCUCGUAGGCGGUCUGUUGCGUCGGCUGUGAAACCCGAAGGCUCAACCUCGGGCCUGCAGCCGAUACGGGCAGACUAGAGUUCGGCAGGGGAGACUGGAAUUCCUGGUGUAGCGGUGAAAUGCGCAGAUAUCAGGAGGAACACCAGCGGCGAAGGCGGCGCUCUGGGCUGGCACUGACGCUGAGGAGCGAAAGCGUGGGGAGCGAACAGG